UACAGAGGUCUCAAGCGUUGUUCGGAUUCAUUGGGCGUAAAGGGUGCGUAGGCGGCGCGGUAAGUCGGGUGUGAAAUUUCGAGGCUUAACUUCGAAACUGCAUUCGAUACUGCCGUGCUUGAGGACUGGAGAGGAGACUGGAAUUUACGGUGUAGCGGUGAAAUGCGUAGAUAUCGGGAGGAACACCAGUGGCGAAGGCGACUACCUGGCCCAUUCUUGACGCUGAGGCGCGAAAGCUAGGGGAGCGAACGGG
rnacentral:rRNA from 1 species